rnacentral:misc_RNA from 1 species
UACAGAGGUGGCAAGCGUUGUUCGGAUUUACUGGGUGUAAAGGGUACGUAGGCGGUUUAGAUAGUCGGACGUGAAAGCCCAUGGCUCAACCAUGGAAUUGCGUCCGAUACUCCUAGACUAGAGUGUGAGAGAGGAAGAUGGAAUUCCAGGUGUAAGGGUGAAAUCUGUAGAUAUCUGGAGGAACACCAGUGGCGAAGGCGAUCUUCUGGUUCACAACUGACGCUGAGUGUACGACAGCUAGGGCAGCGAACGGG